rnacentral:rRNA from 1 species
GAUGAACGCUGGCGGCGUGCCUAAUACAUGCAAGUCGAGCGAACGGACGAGAAGCUUGCUUCUCUGAUGUUAGCGGCGGACGGGUGAGUAACACGUGGAUAACCUACCUAUAAGACUGGGAUAACUUCGGGAAACCGGAGCUAAUACCGGAUAAUAUUUUGAACCGCAUGGUUCAAAAGUGAAAGACGGUCUUGCUGUCACUUAUAGAUGGAUCCGCGCUGCAUUAGCUAGUUGGUAAGGUAACGGCUUACCAAGGCAACGAUGCAUAGCCGACCUGAGAGGGAGGUCGGCCACACUGGAACUGAGAAACGGUCCAGACUCCUACGGGAGGCAGCAGUAGGGAAUCUUACGCAAUGGGCGAAAGCCUGACGGAGCAACGCCGCGUGAGUGAUGAAGGUCUUCGGAUCGUAAAACUCUGUUAUUAGGGAAGAACAUAUGUGUAAGUAACUGUGAACAUCUUGACGGUACCUAAUCAGAAAGCCACGGCUAACUACGUG